GUGGUUUAAUUCGAAGCAACGCGAAGAACCUUACCAGGUCUUGACAUCCCUGACAACCCGAGAGAUCGGCGUUCCCCUUCGGGGGACAGGGUGACAGGUGGUGCAUGGUUGUCGUCAGCUCGUGUCGUGAGAUGUUGGGUUAAGUCCCGCAACGAGCGCAACCCUUGUCAUUAGUUGCUACGAAAGGGCACUCUAAUGAGACUGCCGGUGACAAACCGGAGGAAGGUGGGGAUGACGUCAAGUCCUCAUGGCCCUUAUAGGUGGGGCUACACACGUCAUACAAUGGCUGGUACAAAGGGUUGCCAACCCGCGAGGGGGAGCCAAUCCCAUAAAGCCAGUCGUAGUCCGGAUCGUAGUCUGCAACUCGACUACGUGAAGUCGGAAUCGCUAGUAAUCGUGGAUCAGAAUGUCACGGUGAAUACGUUCCCGGGUCUU
rnacentral:rRNA from 1 species